GACGAACGCUGGCGGCGUGCUUAACACAUGCAAGUCGAACGAUGAAGGAGAGCUUGCUCUCCGGAUUAGUGGCGAACGGGUGAGUAACACGUGACUAACCUGCCCCUUUCUCUGGGAUAACGCUCCGAAAGGAGUGCUAAUACCGGAUACGAACUCUGAACACAUGUUCGGAGUUGGAAAGUUUUUCGGAAAGGGAUGGAGUCGCGGCCUAUCAGCUUGUUGGUGAGGUAACGGCUCACCAAGGCGACGACGGGUAGCCGGCCUGAGAGGGCGACCGGCCACACUGGGACCGAGACACGGCCCAGACUCCUCCGGGAGGCAGCAGUGGAGAAUAUUGCACAAUGGGCGAAAGCCUGAUGCAGCGACGCCGCGUGAGGGAUGAAGGUCUUCGGAUUGUAAACCUCUUUCAGUAGGGACGAAGCGAAAGUGACGGUACCUAAAGAAGAAGCACCGGCUAACUACGUGCCAGCCGCCGCCGUAA
rnacentral:rRNA from 1 species